UCGACGGCAGCACAGAGGAGCUUGCUCCUUGGGUGGCGAGUGGCGGACGGGUGAGUAAUGCAUCGGGAUCUACCCUGACGUGGGGGAUAACCUCGGGAAACCGGGACUAAUACCGCAUACGUCCUACGGGAGAAAGCGGGGGACCUUCGGGCCUCGCGCGGCAGGACGAACCGAUGUGCGAUUAGCUAGUUGGCGGGGUAAUGGCCCACCAAGGCGACGAUCGCUAGCUGGUCUGAGAGGAUGAUCAGCCACACUGGGACUGAGACACGGCCCAGACUCCUACGGGAGGCAGCAGUGGGGAAUAUUGGACAAUGGGCGCAAGCCUGAUCCAGCAAUGCCGCGUGUGUGAAGAAGGCCUUCGGGUUGUAAAGCACUUUUAUCAGGAGCGAAAUACCACGGGUUAAUACCCUAUGGGGCUGACGGUACCUGAGGAAUAAGCACCGGCUAACUUCGUGCCAGCAGCCGCGGUAAUACGAAGGGUGCAAGCGUUAAUCGGAAUUACUGGGCGUAAAGGGUGCGUAGGCGGUUACUUAAGUCUGUCGUGAAAUCCCCGGGCUCAACCUGGGAAUGGCGAUGGAUACUGGGUGGCUAGAGUGUGUCAGAGGAUGGUGGAAUUCCCGGUGUAGCGGUGAAAUGCG
rnacentral:rRNA from 1 species